rnacentral:lncRNA from 1 species
CCGACCCGGAUAAUUGGUUUAAUCAUAUUCAUACCUACUUUCCGUUAAUCGCGUCUCCCGCAUCCUAAUGGCGACGACACCGUUCAUAUGAUACAACCGGUCGAUCUUCCUCCAAUAGGGUUAUUCCGAUGACAUUCUCUGUUUCACCCAAAUAUGCUUGUUUAUUAGGGUUACUCUGAUGCCAUUCUCCGUUUCAGCCAAAUCAAGCCCAUUUGGGAGGCACGUGUAACAGUUGUUUGGCUUGACAAAAUUUAUCACCCUGUUCGUAUUCCACCAGAUGUGAGAUCCAAAACUGACCCGUUUAUUCGUCAUGAUGUGCCCGAUUGAUGUAUCAUAUCAAAAAGGUCUAACAAACACUUUUGAAGUAUUUUACAAGAUAUAUCUUUUUCGAUAAGGUUAAGAUUGUUAUAUUAAUAUAUUCAUAUCGUGUUUUUUGUUUUUGAAAGAUUACCUUGAUGAUUAAAGUUUUGUGUUGAUUUAUACUUAAUGAAAAUCUUAAUACUUAAAUGACAUUUAGAUGCAGUCCAUAAACCGCAUGCUUAAACUAAAAGUACUAAAUUUGGAAAAAUCGAUAUAGAUGAUGUUCCAGGUAUAGGUAUAUGAGGCUUUGAUAUAUAAAGGUUAUUUCUCUUUAUUGUCGUCUUUUUUAUGUUUUUAGUAACUAUGACACAUUCAUUAAACUGGGCAUCUACAUAAUAUAUGUUUUCUUUAUAUGUUAGUUAGAAUUUAGGUUAUUGAGGAUGAUGUUCAAAAAAAGAUGAGCACCAUCAUAAGCAUGAUCAUCAUACCAUCAUGAAUUAUUUUACUCAGUUAUGCAUAAUUGUUAUUUAGGAGUAAUGUUUUUUUUCCUGUUCAAUACUUCAUGAUGAUACCCAUGACCCUGGGUAUCUUCAGUUAGCAUAAUUUGUGAUGGGAGCUUAGAUCUUGAAAAGGCAAAUACUUCAUGUUUGUUGUAAUACUUUUUCAAACUUUCUCAACUUUAAAACCAACUACUAUUUGUUCCAAUAAACUUUAUUGUACAUGUCUUUAACAUAUAUUUUUUUAAAUUAGUUUAGCAUUUCUUAAACAUGUAUUCACUGGUGGAAAGUUGAAUGUGGCACUUUCAAGAGUAGAAGUAAAAUUACUAAUAUUAGAUAGAGACAGUUAAGUUACAAAUUAAAAGACAAAUAUUAUAUACAAGGAACUAUUUAGAUAUUUAUGAUUACUUUAUAAUACAUUGUGACUUGUAAUUGUAAUUUUUUUUAUUUAAUGUAAUAUCUAAUUUUAUUUAUCUUUAUUUUACUUGUAUAUUUAUGACUUACAUAAUUUAAAUUGUUUCACCCGUGUAUUACACGGGUAGAUAACCUAGUAAUAAUAAUAAACAAAAAGACGAGAAAAUAGGGUAAUAAAAACGUAACAAAAUAUUAAAAAAACUUGAAAAUAUGGUACUCAAAAUCCUGGAAAAUAGAGUAUUAAAAAUACCCCGUUUGUGCAUCUUACGUUAUUGGGUUUGAUCAAAAAAUCAGUAUUUUCAGAUUGUGACAGUUUGUUGGCAAUUAGCCAAACCCAACAACAUAUAUUGAACUUAAAUAAACACUAAUCACAUGUCUUUUGUUCAAAAAAAAUAAUAUUAAACGCUAAUCACAUAAACUUUAAUGACCACUAACUUUAUUUUUAUUAUGAUGAGCGUCUCCAUGUUAUCGAUAAAUCUCAUAAAUCAUUUGCAAGUAACAAAUACUC